rnacentral:rRNA from 1 species
UGGGGAAUUUUGGACAAUGGGCGAAAGCCCGAUCCAGCAAUGCCGCGUGUGUGAAGAAGGCCUUCGGGUUGUAAAGCACUUUUGUCCGGAAAGAAAUCCUUGGCUCUAAUACAGUCGGGGGAUGACGGUACCGGAAGAAUAAGCACCGGCUAACUACGUGCCAGCAGCCGCGGUAAUACGUAGGGUGCAAGCGUUAAUCGGAAUUACUGGGCGUAAAGCGUGCGCAGGCGGUUUGCUAAGACCGAUGUGAAAUCCCCGGGCUCAACCUGGGAACUGCAUUGGUGACUGGCAGGCUAGAGUAUGGCAGAGGGGGGUAGAAUUCCACGUGUAGCAGUGAAAUGCGUAGAGAUGUGGAGGAAUACCGAUGGCGAAGGCAGCCCCCUGGGCCAAUACUGACGCUCAUGCACGAAAGCGUGGGGAGCAAACAGGAUUAGAUACCCUGGUAGUCCACGCCCUAAACGAUGUCAACUAGUUGUUGGGGAUUCAUUUCCUUAGUAACGUAGCUAACGCGUGAAGUUGACCGCCUGGGGAGUACGGUCGCAAGAUUAAAACUCAAA